CUAGUCUGAGACAAAACCAAGGUGGACCGAAAAAUAUUGCUCGGUCGCUGCUAACAUAAGUAUCUCUACUAUGGCUGAGUAAUAGGUAGACAGAGAUGUUGUCGCCUGAUUAAAAGUCCAGCAGUAGGGAGGAAAAGGAUGCAAUCUCUCUCUGAGCAGAUUUUCGCAGCCCUGCUCAAAUGUGACUUUUGAGAGAUAAACCUUUUGCGACUUAUUUCUAAACUAUUUUGAGUCCUAGGAAGAGAAGCAACAGCAGCAGGAGCAGAAGACUCGAAUAGAUUCCAAUUCUCAAAGUUCAAGAGGUCUCUUCAAAUGUAAAACGUCUGUUUGGGAAGAUAAAUUGUUCAUUGUCACCCAGAAAUCUGCGCCAUCACGAGUGCAGAACUACCAGAAUAGAUGCCUAAACUGCUCUGCACAACCCAAAACCACACAAUGCCCAGGACCAGGAAAAGCAACAAUACUUUUUAUUGUGCUCUCUAAAAGUCUAGAAAAAAUACUUUCUCAGCAAGAAAAGGAUUACACGUUGCCAUUUAUUCGUUCGUAUUUCCAAAGCUUAAACUCUCCGUACUUGCCCAAAGUGCACUCUACAUUCCUGCACGGUUUGACUUAGAAAGGGUGGAUAAAACCCUAAUGAAUUCUUGUCCUCCCUUUUAAACUACGCAAUAAACGGGCAAAACACACAUUAUAGAUGACUUUGGCUCUGAAUAGGAGCUGGAUUUUCUGCCGAUCACACAAGCUUUCCAAAACCUGAGAUGACGAAGCGAAAGUUGCAAACUCAUUCCACUUUGCCUGGUCAUUACUGGUACAUUUUUGGCAAGGGUGACAAAAAUAAUGAUCAUCAAAAGAAGAAGACGAAGAAAACUUGAUACAUUAUGAAAUGAUGGCAAAGUCGACCAUUAACUAACAAUGUUCACAACUCUCGCAAUCUUUGAUAAAUAAAUGAUAAUCAAAAACAAAACUUAUUGCCUUUCAGACCAUAUCUCAUUUAUUUCGCAGCUUUUCUACCGUCAUGGAAGUUGGAUUGGGACUUUGAGAAAUCUAAAACAAGGUUGACUCUUGGGGAUGGAUCACUCAUGGACGAGACGAGAAAUUCAGAAAGAGAGAGACAAACUACAUCUUUGUGAUUCAAUGAAUUAAUGUUGAAAGUCCAAUCCAAUCCAUGCGAAAUCCGUCUCUCGUCCUUCACCAUUCUUUCUAUUUGGACGAAAAAAGGACGUUUGUCCAUCUCAGGGAUCAAGUUCAUCCGGACUCGUCCAUCCAGUCUGAUGCCACCAACUCACUUUUGGAGCAGAAGAUCAAUUCGACGACUUAUUUCAACGCCCCCUUCUUUCGACGACGAGCUCACCUGAACCAACCAGUCCCAUUAUAUUCAUAUUCCUGCGUUCGGAACGUGUAAUCUGUUUGAACGUCAACAUCCCUGGUCUACUUAUGCUAUUACGUACCGUCGCUCGUGGCGUCACACAGGAGAAAGAUUUCUUGGUACAAAUGAUAAUGUAUUAUAAAGAAUCACGAGUGGAUGACGCCCAGAUUUGCAAGAGGAAACCCUCUCUCGCGCGUGAAGGGCCACUUGGCGAUUACUAGUUUGGAGUUGAAGGAUAAAAUGAAGUGGAAAUCUAUGAUAUAAAACUAGCAAAAUUAAAAAAGUUCCAAAAAAGA